rnacentral:rRNA from 1 species
UGGGGAAUAUUGCGCAAUGGGCGAAAGCCUGACGCAGCCACGCCGCGUGGGUGAUGAAGGCCUUCGGGUUGUAAAGCUCUGUCGGGAGGGACGAAGUUCUGACGGUACCUCCCAAGAAAGCACCGGCUAACUCCGUGCCAGCAGCCGCGGUAAUACGGAGGGUGCAAGCGUUGCUCGGAAUCAUUGGGCGUAAAGCGUACGCAGGCGGUUCGUUAAGUCGGGUGUGAAAGCCCGGGGCUCAACCCCGGAAUUGCGCCCGAUACUGGCGGACUUGAGUGCGGGAGAGGGAAGCGGAAUUCCUGGUGUAGAGGUGAAAUUCGUAGAUAUCAGGAGGAACACCGGUGGCGAAAGCGGCUUCCUGGCCCGACACUGACGCUCAUGUACGAAAGCGUGGGGAGCAAACAGGAUUAGAUACCCGUGUAGUCC